CCUACGGGUGGCAGCAGUGAGGAAUAUUGGUCAAUGGACGAGAGUCUGAACCAGCCAUGUAGCGUGAAGGAUGACUGCCCUAUGGGUUGUAAACUUCUUUUAUAUGGGAAUAAAAUGUUCCACGUGUGGGAUUUUGUAUGUAGCAUAUGAAUAAGGAUCGGCUAACCCCGUGCCAGCAGCCGCGGUAAUACGGAGGAUCCGAGCUUUAUCCGGAUUUAUUGGGUUAAAAGGGAGCGUAGGUGUGUUGUUAAGUCAGUUGUGAACGUUUGCGGCUCAACCGUAAAAUUGCAGUUGAAACUGGCAGUCUUGAGUACAGUAGAGGUGGGCGGAAUUCGUGGUGUUGCGGUGAAAUGCUUAGAUAUCGCGAAGAACUCCGAUUGCGAAGGCAGUUCACUGGACUGCAACUGACACUGAGGCUCGAAAGUGUGGGUAUCAAACAGGAUUAGAUACCCGGUAGUC
rnacentral:rRNA from 1 species